rnacentral:tRNA from 4 species
AAGGGUUUAGCUUAAUUAAAGUGAUUGAUUUGCGUUCAUUUGAUGUAGGAUAAAGUCUUGCAGCCCUUA